rnacentral:rRNA from 1 species
UAUCUCUGUAGAGUCUGCAUAUCAAUAAGCGGAGGAAAAGAAACUAACAAGGAUUCCCCUAGUAACGGCGAGUGAAGCGGGAAGAGCUCAAAUUUGAAAUCUUCAAGGUUCUACCUUGACGAAUUGUAGUUUAAAGAAGUGUUUUCUGUUAGAUGAGUAGUAAAAGUUCCUUGGAAUAGGACAUCAUAGAGGGUGAGAAUCCCGUAUUUGACUAUUCAUUUCUAGCUUUGUGAUACACUUUCAAAGAGUCGGAUUGUUUGGGAAUGCAGUCCAAAAUGGGUGGUAAAUUUCAUCUAAAGCUAAAUAUUGGCGAGAGACCGAUAGCGAACAAGUACCGUGAGGGAAAGAUGAAAAGAACUUUGAAAAGAGAGUUAAACAGUACGUGAAAUUGUCAAAAGGGAAGCGUUUGACACCAGUGUUGUUUUUCCGAAAAUCAAUUAAAAAUUGAUUCAUGCCAGGUUGUAUUGACCUUAUCAGCUUGCAAUUUGGUUUUGGGUCUCUUUUUGAUGCACUUUUCGGUUAACAAGUCAGCAUCAAUUUCCUUUGCUGUAAAAAGGUAAGAGGAAGGUGGCUUCAAUUUCGGUUGAAGUGUUUAUAGCCUUUUAUCUCUGCAGUCGGGGAGAUUGAGGUCUGCAGCGUAGAUCCUUCGGGGCUAGAUACAUUUAUGCUAAGUUAUAGCUUUUCAUAGACGACUUGUUGACUAUGUUUAGUCAUGUAGCUUACUCGUAAGUGCUAUUUUACCUACGCUUAGGAUGUUGAAGACUCUACAGAGAUA